rnacentral:rRNA from 1 species
UACGUAGGAUGCAAGCGUUGUCCGGAAUUAUUGGGCGUAAAGAGCGCGCAGGCGGUUUGAGAAGUCAGAUGUGAAAGAGGCCGGCUUAACCGGCAAGGGUCAUUUGAAACUGACAGACUAGAGUACAGCAGAGGAUAGCGGAAUUCCCGGUGUAGUGGUGAAAUGCGUAGAUAUCGGGAGGAACACCAGUGGCGAAGGCGGCUAUCUGGGCUGAAACUGACGCUGGAGGCGCGAAGGCUAGGGUAGCAAACAGG